CAGCCGCCGCGGUAAUACGGANGGNNNAAGCGUUAUCCGGAAUCAUUGGGUUUAAAGGGUCCGUANGCGGUUUAGUAAGUCAGUGGUGAAAGCCCAUCGCUCAACGGUGGAACGGCCAUUGAUACUGCUAGACUUGAAUUAUUAGGAAGUAACUAGAAUAUGUAGUGUAGCGGUGAAAUGCUUAGAGAUUACAUGGAAUACCAAUUGCGAAGGCAGGUUACUACUAAUGGAUUGACGCUGAUGGACGAAAGCGUGGGUAGCGAACAGGAUUAGAUACCCUGGUAGUCCACGCCGUAAACGAUGGAUACUAGCUGUUGGGAGCAAUCUCAGUGGCUAAGCGAAAGUGAUAAGUAUCCCACCUGGGGAGUACGUUCGCAAGAAUGAAACUUAAAGGAAUUGACGG
rnacentral:rRNA from 1 species